GACGAACGCUGGCGGCGUGCUUAACACAUGCAAGUCGAACGGAAAGGCCCUGCUUGCAGGGUGCUCGAGUGGCGAACGGGUGAGUAACACGUGGGUGAUCUGCCCCUUACUUUGGGAUAAGUCUGGGAAACUGGGUCUAAUACUGGAUAGGACCAUGCUGUAGGUGGUGUGGUGGAAAGAUUAGUUUCGGUAAGGGAUGAGCUCGCGGCCUAUCAGCUUGUUGGUGGGGUAAUGGCCUACCAAGGCGUCGACGGGUAGCCGGCCUGAGAGGGUGGACGGCCACAUUGGGACUGAGAGACGGCCCAGACUCCUACGGGAGGCAGCAGUGGGGAAUAUUGCACAAUGGGCGCAAGCCUGAUGCAGCGACGCCGCGUGGGGGAUGACGGCCUUCGGGUUGUAAACUCCUUUCAGCCAUGACGAAGCCCUUGUGGUGACGGUAGUGGUAGAAGAAGCACCGGCUAACUACGUG
rnacentral:rRNA from 1 species